AUUGAACGCUGGCGGCAUGCCUUACACAUGCAAGUCGAACGGCAGCACGGGAGCAAUCCUGGUGGCGAGUGGCGAACGGGUGAGUAAUAUAUCGGAACGUGCCCAGUCGUGGGGGAUAACGUAGCGAAAGCUACGCUAAUACCGCAUACGAUCUAUGGAUGAAAGCGGGGGAUCGCAAGACCUCGCGCGAUUGGAGCGGCCGAUAUCAGAUUAGGUUGUUGGUGGGGCAAAAGCUCACCAAGCCUGCGAUCUGUAGCUGGUCUGAGAGGACGACCAGCCACACUGGAACUGAGACACGGUCCAGACUCCUACGGGAGGCAGCAGUGGGGAAUUUUGGACAAUGGGCGCAAGCCUGAUCCAGCAAUGCCGCGUGCAGGAUGAAGGCCUUCGGGUUGUAAACCGCUUUUGUACGGAACGAAACGGCCUUUUCUAAUACAGAAGGCUAAUGACGGUACCGUAAGAAUAAGCACCGGCUAACUACGUG
rnacentral:rRNA from 1 species